rnacentral:rRNA from 1 species
GAUGAACGCUGGCGGCGUGCCUAAUACAUGCAAGUCGAGCGAACGGACGAGAAGCUUGCUUCUCUGAUGUUAGCGGCGGACGGGUGAGUAACACGUGGAUAACCUACCUAUAAGACUGGGAUAACUUCGGGAAACCGGAGCUAAUACCGGAUAAUAUUUUGAACCGCAUGGUUCAAAAGUGAAGGACGGUCUUGCUGUCACUUAUAGAUGGAUCCGCGCUGCAUUAGCUAGUUGGUAAGGUAACGGCUUACCAAGGCAACGAUGCAUAGCCGACCUGAGAGGGUGAUCGGCCACACUGGAACUGAGACACGGUCCAGACUCCUACGGGAGGCAGCAGUAGGGAAUCUUCCGCAAUGGGCGAAAGCCUGACGGAGCAACGCCGCGCGAGUGAUGAAGGUCUUCGGAUCGUAAAACUCUGUUAUUAGGGAAGAACAUAUGUGUAAGUAACUGUGCACAUCUUGACGGUACCUAAUCAGAAAGCCACGGCUAACUACGUG